rnacentral:rRNA from 1 species
CGACUAAUGUUGAAAAAUUAGCGGAUGACUUGUGGCUGGGGGUGAAAGGCCAAUCAAACCGGGAGAUAGCUGGUUCUCCCCGAAAGCUAUUUAGGUAGCGCCUCGUGAAUUCAUCUCCGGGGGUAGAGCACUGUUUCGGCAAGGGGGUCAUCCCGACUUACCAACCCGAUGCAAACUGCGAAUACCGGAGAAUGUUAUCACGGGAGACACACGGCGGGUGCUAACGUCCGUCGUGAAGAGGGAAACAACCCAGACCGCCAGCUAAGGUCCCAAAGUCAUGGUUAAGUGGGAAACGAUGUGGGAAGGCCCAGACAGCCAGGAUGUUGGCUUAGAAGCAGCCAUCAUUUAAAGAAAGCGUAAUAGCUCACUGGUCGAGUCGGCCUGCGCGGAAGAUGUAACGGGGCUAAACCAUGCACCGAAGCUGCGGCAGCGACACUGUGUGUUGUUGGGUAGGGGAGCGUUCUGUAAGCCUGUGAAGGUGUGCUGUGAGGCAUGCUGGAGGUAUCAGAAGUGCGAAUGCUGACAUAAGUAACGAUAAAGCGGGUGAAAAGCCCGCUCGCCGGAAGACCAAGGGUUCCUGUCCAACGUUAAUCGGGGCAGGGUGAGUCGACCCCUAAGGCGAGGCCGAAAGGCGUAGUCGAUGGGAAACAGGUUAAUAUUCCUGUACUUGGUGUUACUGCGAAGGGGGGACGGAGAAGGCUAUGUUGGCCGGGCGACGGUUGUCCCGGUUUAAGCGUGUAGGCUGGUUUUCCAGGCAAAUCCGGAAAAUCAAGGCUGAGGCGUGAUGACGAGGCACUACGGUGCUGAAGCAACAAAUGCCCUGCUUCCAGGAAAAGCCUCUAAGCAUCAGGUAACAUCAAAUCGUACCCCAAACCGACACAGGUGGUCAGGUAGAGAAUACCAAGGCGCUUGAGAGAACUCGGGUGAAGGAACUAGGCAAAAUGGUGCCGUAACUUCGGGAGAAGGCACGCUGAUAUGUAGGUGAAGUCCCUCGCGGAUGGAGCUGAAAUCAGUCGAAGAUACCAGCUGGCUGCAACUGUUUAUUAAAAACACAGCACUGUGCAAACACGAAAGUGGACGUAUACGGUGUGACGCCUGCCCGGUGCCGGAAGGUUAAUUGAUGGGGUCAGCGCAAGCGAAGCUCUUGAUCGAAGCCCCGGUAAACGGCGGCCGUAACUAUAACGGUCCUAAGGUAGCGAAAUUCCUUGUCGGGUAAGUUCCGACCUGCACGAAUGGCGUAAUGAUGGCCAGGCUGUCUCCACCCGAGACUCAGUGAAAUUGAACUCGCUGUGAAGAUGCAGUGUACCCGCGGCAAGACGGAAAGACCCCGUGAACCUUUACUAUAGCUUGACACUGAACAUUGAGCCUUGAUGUGUAGGAUAGGUGGGAGGCUUUGAAGUGUGGACGCCAGUCUGCAUGGAGCCGACCUUGAAAUACCACCCUUUAAUGUUUGAUGUUCUAACGUGGACCCGUGAUCCGGGUUGCGGACAGUGUCUGGUGGGUAGUUUGACUGGGGCGGUCUCCUCCUAAAGAGUAACGGAGGAGCACGAAGGUUGGCUAAUCCUGGUCGGACAUCAGGAGGUUAGUGCAAUGGCAUAAGCCAGCUUGACUGCGAGCGUGACGGCGCGAGCAGGUGCGAAAGCAGGUCAUAGUGAUCCGGUGGUUCUGAAUGGAAGGGCCAUCGCUCAACGGAUAAAAGGUACUCCGGGGAUAACAGGCUGAUACCGCCCAAGAGUUCAUAUCGACGGCGGUGUUUGGCACCUCGAUGUCGGCUCAUCACAUCCUGGGGCUGAAGUAGGUCCCAAGGGUAUGGCUGUUCGCCAUUUAAAGUGGUACGCGAGCUGGGUUUAGAACGUCGUGAGACAGUUCGGUCCCUAUCUGCCGUGGGCGCUGGAGAACUGAGGGGGGCUGCUCCUAGUACGAGAGGACCGGAGUGGACGCAUCACUGGUGUUCGGGUUGUCAUGCCAAUGGCACUGCCCGGUAGCUAAAUGCGGAAGAGAUAAGUGCUGAAAGCAUCUAAGCACGAAACUUGCCCCGAGAUGAGUUCUCCCUGACCCUUUAAGGGUCCUGAAGGAACGUUGAAGACGACGACGUUGAUAGGCCGGGUGUGUAAGCGCAGCGAUGCGUUGAGCUAACCGGUACUAAUGAACCGUGAGGCUUAACCUU